GAUGAACGCUGGCGGCGUGCCUAAUACAUGCAAGUCGAGCGAACGGACGAGAAGCUUGCUUCUCUGAUGUUAGCGGCGGACGGGUGAGUAACACGUGGAUAACCUACCUAUAAGACUGGGAUAACUUCGGGAAACCGUAGCUAAUACCGGAUAAUAUUUUGAACCGCAUGGUUCAAAAGUGAAAGACGGUCUUGCUGUCACUUAUAGAUGGAUCCGCGCUGCAUUAGCUAGUUGGUAAGGUAACGGCUUACCAAGGCAACGAUGCAUAGCCGACCUGAGAGGGUGAUCGGCCACACGGAAACUGAGACACGGUCCAGACUCCUACGGGAGGCAGCAGUAGGGAAUCUUCCGCAAUGGGCGAAAGCCUGACGGAGCAACGCCGCGGGAGUGAUGAAGGUCUUCGGAUCGUAAAACUCUGUUAUUAGGGAAGAACAUAUGUGUAAGUAACUGUGCACAUCUUGACGGUACCUAAUCAGAAAGCAACGGCUAACUACGU
rnacentral:rRNA from 1 species